rnacentral:rRNA from 1 species
UACGGGGGGGGCAAGCGUCGUUCGGAAUUACUGGGCGUAAAGGGCUCGUAGGCGGCCAACUAAGUCAGACGUGAAAUCCCUCGGCUUAACCGGGGAACUGCGUCUGAUACUGGAUGGCUUGAGUGUGGGAGAGGGAUGCGGAAUUCCAGGUGUAGCGGUGAAAUGCGUAGAUAUCUGGAGGAACACCGGUGGCGAAGGCGGCAUCCUGGACCAUUACUGACGCUGAGGAGCGAAAGCCAGGGGAGCAAACGGG